AACACAUGCAAGUCGAACGAGAGAUGAGGAGCUUGCUCUUCAAAUCGAGUGGCGAACGGGUGAGUAACGCGUGAGGAACCUGCCUCAAAGAGGGGGACAACAGUUGGAAACGACUGCUAAUACCGCAUAAGCCCACGGCUCGGCAUCGAGCAGAGGGAAAAGGAGCAAUCCGCUUUGAGAUGGCCUCGCGUCCGAUUAGCUAGUUGGUGAGGUAACGGCCCACCAAGGCGACGAUCGGUAGCCGGACUGAGAGGUUGAACGGCCACAUUGGGACUGAGACACGGCCCAGACUCCUACGGGAGGCAGCAGUGGGGAAUAUUGCACAAUGGGGGAAACCCUGAUGCAGCGACGCCGCGUGGAGGAAGAAGGUCUUCGGAUUGUAAACUCCUGUUGUUGAGGAAGAUAAUGACGGUACUCAACAAGGAAGUGACGGCUAACUACGUGCCAGCAGCCGCGGUAAAACGUAGGUCACAAGCGUUGUCCGGAAUUACUGGGUGUAAAGGGAGCGCAGGCGGGAGAACAAGUUGGAAGUGAAAUCCAUGGGCUCAACCCAUGAACUGCUUUCAAAACUGUUUUUCUUGAGUAGUGCAGAGGUAGGCGGAAUUCCCGGUGUAGCGGUGGAAUGCGUAGAUAUCGGGAGGAACACCAGUGGCGAAGGCGGCCUACUGGGCACCAACUGACGCUGAGGCUCGAAAGUGUGGGUAGCAAACAGGAUUAGAUACCCUGGUAGUCCACACCGUAAACGAUGAUUACUAGGUGUUGGAGGAUUGACCCCUUCAGUGCCGCAGUUAACACAAAUAAGUAAUCCACCUGGGGAGUACGACCGCAAGGU
rnacentral:rRNA from 1 species